GAGGAAAAGAAACUAACAAGGAUUCCCCUAGUAGCGGCGAGCGAAGCGGGAAGAGCUCAAAUUUGUAAUCUGGCACCUUCGGUGUCCGAGUUGUAAUCUCGAGAAGUGUUUUCCGCGCUAGACCGCAUAUAAGUCUGUUGGAAUACAGCGUCAUAGGUGGUGACAACCCCGUUCAUGAUGCGGAUGCCUAGUGCUUUGUGAUACACUUUCGAAGAGUCGAGUUGUUUGGGAAUGCAGCUCAAAUUGGGUGGUAAAUUCCAUCUAAAGCUAAAUAUUGGCGAGAGACCGAUAGCGAACAAGUACCGUGAGGGAAAGAUGAAAAGCACUUUGGAAAGAGAGUUAAAAGUACGUGAAAUUGUUGAAAGGGAAACGCUUGAAGUCAGACUUGCGUAUUGGAGUUCAGCCGCAAGGUGUAUUCUUCAAUUUGCAGGCCAGCAUCAGUUUCUGGGGGUACAAAAGGGUAAGAGGAAGGUGGCAGCCUCGGCUGUGUUAUAGCCUCUUACUGGAUGUAUCUUUGGGGACUGAGGACUGCAGCGCACUUUUUGCAAGUCCCUCGGGACUUUCUGCGCUUAGGAUGCUGGUGGAAUGGCUUUAAACGACCC
rnacentral:rRNA from 1 species